UUGCCUACCAAUUAAUAUGUACUUGUUUCUCUUUAUGUUAAAUCUUUCGUGGAGUUUUCUGAUGAGACUGUUGUGAUUCAAGGUGUUGGUCUUUUCCAAAUUAGCAUCCAGCAUGCUGAUUUUCUCUGUUUUGUAAUGUUGGAGAUGUGUUCCCUGGGCUCAUUUGUUUUGACAUGUAGGAGCACUGGAUUGAAGGUUCAGCAUGUUUGUAUGUAUUCUUAGCUGUUGUUCAUAAGUACUAGACUGCAUAAACAUUGCUGAUGUUGGAGGGUAAACGUGGAGUCUGCAUCUCUGGUCUCAGUUGUUGCUUCUUUGCUAUGAACUGUCAAAUUAUCGGGUGAGAAUGAGCCAUAUUUUAGUUGCAGAUGCAAGAAUUUAAAGCACCAUUGUUGCGGUCUAGAUUGUAAUUGAUGAAGCUGUAAUCAGGUAUCCACGUCUAGUUUUGAACACUAGUAGGCUCAUAAAUUUCCUGACGUGAUAUCAUGCUUGGAUGUUGAGCACUGUUUCUCUUCUUCUACAUUUGUUUGAUCUGUGCAGCGAGCAAAGCUUCGUGAUGCUUCAGCUGGAUGCGGCAUCCUUCCAGCCUUUUCGGCUUAAUGAUCGAUGAAUCUCUGAGGCCCAACAAUGAAGUCUCAGAUAUCAGUCAUGGGUGCUUCUCUGUUCGUCCCAAUGUUUCACUUUCCAGUCCUCUUGUAAGCACAAGUUAAUAUAUUUUGAUUUUCUUUUGUUUCGUUUUGUUGUAAUUGACUUGACCUUUUUACCCUGUGGGAGUGAGGUUUAUCACGUAAUUCUUCUUAAGUGUGCAUCUUUAAGCUUCAUUCUAUAUA